CUGGCUGCUUAUGCACCGGAUACUGCACCUUUUAUGUCGGAUGAAGCAAUGGUUGCAGCAAUUGGUAACUCAAAAGACUAUACUUUGAAACAGUAUCUAGUUUUAGUGGACAAAUUGCAGGCAAAAUCCAAGGAAUUAUCAGCAAAAGAAGACUCUUUUACUCCAUCAGACGUUGAACGGGCACUGUGGAGUUCUGUUGUGGGUGCCAAAUCAGGUGGAUUGUCACAAGAGCCUAAGGAAGUCAACUCAAAGCGGAAGUCCAAGAGGAAGCGUGCAUAGUGACUAUGAUGAUUUCGG
rnacentral:misc_RNA from 1 species